GUAUCAAUAAGCGGAGGAAAAGAAACCAACAGGGAUUGCCCCAGUAACGGCGAGUGAAGCGGCAACAGCUCAAAUUUGAAAUCUGGCCCCUCCGGGUCCGAGUUGUAAUUUGUAGAGGAUGCUUUUGGUGAGGUGCCGCCCGAGUUCCCUGGAACGGGACGCCACAGAGGGUGAGAGCCCCGUCUGGCUGGCCACCGAGCCUCUGUAAAGCUCCUUCGACGAGUCGAGUAGUUUGGGAAUGCUGCUCAAAU
rnacentral:rRNA from 1 species